CACAACGGGUGGAGCCUGCGGUUUAAUCGGACUCAACGCCGGGAAACUCACCGGACAAGACAGCUGAAUGAUUGCCGGGCUGAAGACUCUGCAUGACUAGCUGAGAGGAGGUGCAUGGCCGUCGUCAGUUCGUACUGUGAAGCAUCCUGUUAAGUCAGGCAACGAGCGAGACCCACGCCAACAGUUGCCAGCUCGUCCUCCGGGACGGUGGGGACACUGUUGGGACCGCCUCUGCUAAAGAGGAGGAAGGAAUGGGCAACGGUAGGUCAGCAUGCCCCGAAUUGUCCGGGCUACACGCGGGCUACAAUGGGUGGGACAAUGGGUAUCGACACCGAAAGGUGAAGGCAAUCUCCUAAACCCACUCUUAGUUCGGAUUGUGGGCUGCAACUCGCCUACAUGAAGCUGGAAUCCGUAGUAAUCGUGUCUCAAAAUGGCACGGUGAAUAUGUCCCUGCUCC
rnacentral:rRNA from 1 species